rnacentral:lncRNA from 1 species
CUGGACGAACUUGGCACCCCGACCUUCGUGUGGUUAUUUUUGGGCGUGGCUUUGUCCGCGGCCUAUUUUUGGCACACGGAGGCCCCUCGCAAAGUCUCGCGGCAUUCCGAGUCCGGCGGACGAAGUUCGCCAGCCCCACCCCCCAAGGCUAUAGCCCACCGGUUUUUGUGGCCUUUUUCCGCUGGACGAACUUGGUGCCCCGACCUUCGUGCCGUUAUUUUUGGGCGCGGCUUUGUCCGUGGCCUAUUUUUGGCACACGGAGGCCCCUCGCAAAGUCUCGCGGCAUUCCGAGCCCGGCGGACGAAGUGGGCCAGCCCCACCCCCCAAGGCUAUAGCCCACCCGUUUUGGUGGCCUUUUUCCGCUGGACGAACUUGGUGCCCCAACCUUCGUGCGGUUAUUUUUGGGUGCGGCUUUGUCCGCGGCAUAUUUUUGGCACACGGAGGCCCCCUGCAAAGUCUCGCGGCAUUCCGAGUCCGGCGGAUGAAGUUGGCCAGCCCCACCCCCCAAGGCUAUAGCCCACCCGUUUUUGUGGCCUUUUUCCGAUGGACGAACUUGGCGCCCCGGCCUUCGGGCGCUUAUUUUUGGGCGCGG